rnacentral:rRNA from 1 species
UACGGGGGGGGCAAGCGUUGUUCGGAAUUACUGGGCGUAAAGGGCUCGUAGGUGGCCAACUAAGUCGGACGUGAAAUCCCCCGGCUUAACCUGGGAACUGCGUCUGAUACUGGAGGGCUUGAGUGCGGGAGAGGGAUGUGGAAUUCCAGGUGUAGCGGUGAAAUGCGUAGAUAUCUGGAGGAACACCGGUGGCGAAGGCGGCAUCCUGGACCGACACUGACGCUGAGGCGCGAAAGCUAGGGUAGCAAACGGG